UAGGUGGGAGGCUAUGAAGGUUCCCUUCCGGGGGAACUAGAGCCAUCAGUGAGAUACCACUCUGGAAGAGCUAGAAUCCUAAUGGUGAUCUUUGAAUCAAGACACUUAACAGUUCCAGAAGGGCAGUUUAUCUGGGGCGGAUUCCUCAUAAAGUGUAACUGAGGUGUGCAAAGGUUCUCUCAGUCUGGACGGAAAUCAGACAUUGAGUGCAAAGGCAAAAGAGAGCUUGACUGCAAGACCAACAAGUCGAGCAGGGGCGAAAGCCGGCCUUAGUGAUCCGACGGUGCCGUGUGGAAGGGCCGUCGCUCAACGGAUAAAAGUUA
rnacentral:rRNA from 1 species